UACGUAGGGGGCAAGCGUUGUCCGGAAUCAUUGGGCGUAAAGCGCGUGUAGGCGGCUGAGUAAGUCUGCUCUGAAAGCCCGGGGCUCAACCCCCGGGAGGCGGGUGGAUACUGCUCAGCUCGAGUCCGGAAGAGGAGUGUGGAAUUCCUGGUGUAGCGGUGAAAAUGCGCAGAUAUCGGGAGGAACACCAGUGGCGAAGGCGACUUCCUGGCCUGUUUCUUGACGCUGAGGCGCGAAAAGCUAGGGGGAGCAAACGGG
rnacentral:rRNA from 1 species